rnacentral:tRNA from 1 species
GCACGCGUGGCGGAAACGGUAGACGCACCUGCUUUAGGAGCAGACGCUUCGGCGUGCGGGUUCAAGUCCCGCCGCGUGCA